AACGUAGGAGACAAACGUUAUCCGGAGUUACUGGGCGUAAAGGGCGUGUAGGUGGUUUCGUAAGUCUGGCGUGAAAUUUUUCGGCUUAACCGGGAAAGGUCGUCGGAUACUGCGGAGCUAGAGGACGGUAGAGGCGUGUGGAAUUCCGGGUGUAGUGGUGAAAUGCGUAGAGAUCCGGAGGAACACCAGUGGCGAAGGCGGCUCACUGACCCGAUACUGACGCUGAGGCACGAAAGCGUGGGGAGCAAACAGGG
rnacentral:rRNA from 1 species